rnacentral:lncRNA from 1 species
CCUCGACUUAUCCACGAUUCAUAGCAUAUUUCACAAUUGUUGGUCACAAAACUGCACUCUACUUAUACACAAGUAUACAUGAUAUUUUAAUACCGAACUCAUGAUUGUCCUAAAUUGUAAUUGUUGCUGAGAAUUCAUUUCUUUAUUUAUUUUUUUUAUACUAGCUCUUUUUAGAAGGACGUUUGAUGAUCCACAUGGUUAAUAUUUCUCAUUUUAUUUUUAGGACAAGACUUCAAUUAACACAAAAGAAGAAGAAUCAAAUGGGAUGCUAGUUUUUGAAACGGAAGCACUGGUUUUAUUGACAAGCCUUCUGCGUACUGCGAAGUUGCCGAUAACUGAACUUGGCAAUACGUUAUUUCACCGAAUAAUUUUCUUUAGGCCUUGCACGCAAUAUGCUACCUUGUGAUUUAUAUGAAGAUUAAAAUGUAAUCUCUAUAUGGCAAACUUUUUACUUUUUUUUUUGCCCUCUAUUUUAUUUGGAAUCAUUCUGUUUUUUUGGAGUACACAACAGUCUCUUAUACAUAUAUGCUAAUAUGUGGAAUUUAUUACAGUUGAACUUUUUUGUCAAUCCACACCGGGCCACACACACUGAAUAUAACCUUUUUGUGGAGAUAUUUAAUUUUCCUUUUUUUGACAGGGGGCCAUUUUUCAUUAAAUGCCUUUCAGUUCCAGAGAAGUAAGAUUUUUUUUUUUCUUGCUUAUCUUUGAGUCUUUCAAAGGCUUGUCUUUUUUUCAUAUUACACAUAAUACAAACACACGCACACACAUAGAUCCCCCCCUCACCCCCUCCGAAAUAUGAGGUCCUUUCAUUGUUAUUCAAACUGUUAAAAAAAACGAAAUUGUGUCAAACCAAGGGUUUUGUGUAAGCGGUGUAUUAAUAAGCUUUUUGAACAUUUUUAUAAAGUGGAUAUUCUACUUAUUUCAAACCUAUAACAAUAUUAAUUUGAUAAAAAACCAAGGGGCUACAUGACUUAGACUAGUAUAUGUCUGAGUUAAGCUAAAUAUACACAUGCUAAACAUUAAAACCUGGGUAAAAGAGGGGAUUUAUAAUGAUUAAGCCAUCACCCCUCUUAGCACUUCUACAAUAAAGUAGGAAACUGCCCAGUGUGCUUUAUUUUAAAAUCAGCAUUUAGUCAUUUGAUGAAAUUGACUUUCGAAGAUAUUAUCACUGUGUCUAGACCACUUUUUUUGAUUGUUUUUUAUUCUUUUUCUCGUGUCAAAUGCAUGAAUAUUGCAAAAAAAAAAAUACUAUUCAGCCAGCGUACAAACAAGCCCAACAAUAAACAACGUUUUUAAAAUGUAUUAUGAUACAAUUUGUAGUUCUCUUAAGUUUUAAAGAAAUGGUGAAGUAAAAUCAAAAGGACUUUUCAAUGUGCUUUCCUUACGCAUUCCAUACUGAUUACAAAAUAACACUAUAUGCUUUUUUGUCUUUUCUUUGGCUUUCUCGUGUGAGCUGUUCAGAUGUAAAUCUGAUAUAAUUAAAGUGAAACACAGAACACAGUUCGCUUUCCUUUGAUAUGCUAUGCUGGGAAUAGUUCCUGUUUUGCUCACUAUAUGUCUUUUAAUUAUUAAGUUAAGGAGAGUUAGGAGUUCUGUUGUUCAUAUUACUUUGUGAGCAAAGCUGGUAACGUAAUCUAAAGUCAAGAUUUAAAGCCCCUUCUGUGCUAGAGUUCCAGGCCAGUUUUUCUGGCUGUAGAUCAAAUACAUUUUUACUUAAAAUGUAGAAAAAAAGAGUUUUGCCAGCACGUAAAAAAAAAAAAAGGAUUUUAUGGCAAAUGUCAGGUGGAGUGCUUGACUGUUAUUUAAAAGGAAAUAAUGCUUCAUUUUGCUCUGUCAUACAUUAUAUUCAUGCUUCAUAUGAAUCUGUGUUCCAGAGUAAAGUCAUUAUGUUUUAUGGGAACAAAAUUAAAAUAUACUUUCUACCCGGAGAUGUCCUAUACAGUCUGGCUUUCCUGUAAUUAGAAAUAUAUUUCAAAUGUUCUCAGAAAUGAAAAGUUACACGUCAUUUUUAUGGCAAAGGGCUCUAAAUUUUGCUAUAGGUAGUGUUUCCAAAUCACUUACGUUGUAGAUACUUUUAUAACCAUAAAUAAUGCAUCCCUCACUGCCACACUGAGGAUAUCUGUGUUGUUAGUUUGAGAACGUUUGAAAACAAUUACACAAUCAAUGUUCUAUCUCUUAACAAAAAUGUUUGGAUCGCAGUUUCAAAAUUAAGUUGCCAAGUUGUCAUUAGUAUGGUUACUAAAUAAAUAGAUAAAAUGGCAUCUGUGACACAAAUUGGAAGUAUAGAAGAAAUGUAAUUACGGAUCAAUGUACAGUAAUAAGUUUCUGGCAAAUGUUCUGUUUAUUGAGAAUUUCUGAAAUCCACCAUGUCUUCUUUUAAAUAUUGAGUGACUUAAGUGGGAACAUUGUUCAGAUGUCAGUUUAGGGAUAAAGUUCCCUGGAUAUAAGCUUGGAACUGAGUUGACAAGACAUUUUCCCAAAUUAUAUAUACUAUCAAAAUUGAGAAAAUCUAAUAUUGCACGUGAAGCCAGUAAGCAUUUUUUUUAUUAUUAUUAUUUUUUUUAUUCUUCCCGAGGUUGUCAUGAAAUUCACAACUGAGCAAAUUGUCGUGAUGCAAACAAUUCUGCAUGCAGCAUAAACUUGGAGGACAAACACAAUGUUUUGUUGUGGAACAAUUAUUUAUUUUCUUUAAAUAAAAGUAACGUCCCUUAAGUUUAAAAUAUAUAUAUAUACUUAUUGAAUUGAAAAUGAUGUUGUAGUGAAACAGAAAUAACUGCUCACAUUUUAGUACAUUGUAAAGAAAGAACUUCAAGCUCAGGUUAAAGAAUGUGUUUACUUUGUUGGAAAAGCAGAUGCACUGUAUCCAGAGGUCCAAAGAACGCAAAAACACGUUUUUUUUUUAAAUAUUGAUACGCAUGAAUAUUUUAUACAGCAAUCUACAAUAUAUUUAAGUUUCAAAUUGUCUACCAUCCAGCAUCUUGGUUAUAACUCUACCGGGAUGAUGAAAAAUCUGCAAUAAUAUUUUGCACUGCUGUUUGUAGAUAAACAUUUAUUUAAUGCAUAAUAACAUCGGCAAAAGGGCACAAAAUUUGGUGCUAGAAUUGGUACUCUGAGAUCAUAAAGAAAUCCUACAUUGAGCUUCUGUGCAGAAUUUGUGAUGUGUUUCUGCAAUGUUGCACAUAGAGUUAGGAAGCUCAUAGGUGUAUGGGUAACUUAAAUUAUUAAUGUGCAAAAAUGCUGUGGUAGGCAGGGCUUUCUAUACACCACGUCCAGGCUGAUUUUUGCUGUUAAAACUGACAUAAGGUCCCAGAUUUUUAAAGAGGAAAUGUGGUCAUCCUACCUAUAAGCAAAAGUUCUGCAAUAAUUGUAGUGUCUGAAGCAUGCAGUGGUUUCUUUUUUGCCUUUUUAAACUUUUUUCCUUCGUCUUUGCUACUUUUUAAAAUAUUUUUUCAGCCAGUCUUUUACAUGUCUUACACUUUAGCAUCUGGUAAAUUGCAGCUUAACACUUCAAUAUAAAACGCAUGAAAUAUUGCAACUUGAGCGCCUAAGUGGGGUUAUCAAUCUGCCUAAAAAGGCAUACAGUAUACAUAAGUUUGAAUGUAUUUUAGAAAGCAAUUCUUUAACAAUCUCACUACCAAAAGAGUAAUGCAGUUUCAUCUUUGCCAUUCUUCCAGCAAAAAGGAAUAUAGAUCCCAGUUGAUACAACAUGGAGAUUAUACUACCUUAUCACUGUGAUAUUAAAAAUAUUACAUAACCACAUAUGCUAGUGGAUUUAUUUCAGUGACAAAAGCAUUAACCAACUUAAAUUUAAACUUUUCAAUAUCUGACACGCAACUGAGAGAAUUUUUUUAAAUUGUUUUAUACGUAGACGCACACAAAGUUUUCAAGACAAUUAUAUUUGCUUUUUCCAUCUGGGAAUAUUUUCGAUUUUUUUCAAUGAAUAUUGUAAAUAUUUUUUUUAAUUAUUAUUUUGGGAGGUAUAACGCAUAAUAUAAUAUACGCUCUCCUCAAAGUCUCAUCUACCUGUCAAUUUGAAAGCAUGGUAUUUUCCCGUACUGUGUUUAGACGGUGUGAAUUGAAACUGUUCAUAAACGAAUGCACUUAUUAAAGCAUGUGCCGGUGCUUACUUGAGUACAUCACAUGUCUAAUCAGAGGCUAGAUCCCUCUGUGUGCACUUGGAGUCAUUGUGGCCCCUAGCACUUAGAGAGAUAAUAGCGUCUUUUUGGGAUAUUUUCUUUUUUGAAAAUGAUUUAGUAUAUUAAUACUAGGGAUUGGGCAGAACUUCAUACCAAAAAAAAACCAUAGAAACAAAUGGUGACUUGGUGAAUAAUAUGUGUAAAAUUGGCAUAUUUCUUCUUUGUUGUACAAUACGUGUACAUAGACAUAGCUCACAUGUGAAUGCAGAAAUACAUGUGCAUGGUGUGUGCACAAGUGCACAUGAUAUGGCAAAUGUGCGGUAGAUCUAAAUGUCAAUAGAAUUUUUAAUUUAAUUUUUUAAGAUACAUGAGCAUUUCGUGAGAAACGAAAAUAUUGGCCUUUGAUUUUGGAAUAUUGCCACAGGAAGAAAAAAACGUGGAAUUUUUGCCCACCCAAAUUAAAAAUGCAUUUAGCUUAGUACAUAAAUGAAACACUUAUUUUAACUUCAUAGUAUUGUAGGUAGCUCAGUGUAUUGAUGCUUUACUUGUUACAACUUGUAUUUUGUGCAUUUAAAUAAAGAUGUAAUUGUGAAAAACCUGUAACUGUUUUUGUGUUCUUGUAUUAUGGUACUGAAUAAAGUUAAACUUAAUCUUUGC